rnacentral:ncRNA from 1 species
AAUAGAGGCUGCGGAAAGCAUAAGUAAGAAAAACGAGACCGCCGGGUCGCCAUCAGUUUUUCCGAAAGGGAUUUUCGCCGAAACCGAGGGCCUUCGGAAGGCCGCAGGUUGGGACGCAGGACAACAUCCUGCGGACUGUCACAUCUUUUGUGGAGAGCUAUCCGG